AAAAAAGCGAAAACAUACCUACGUUUCUCCUCUAGCAAAAUCAAAAUCAAAAUCGAAGCUUGUACUUCUCCGUUUUUGCUCUCGCAAAAUCAAUUUCUCGCAACUCUCGCAAAAAUCGAAGCUCGUACUUCUCCGUUUCUACUCUUGCAAAAUCAAUUUCUCACAACUCUCGCAAAAUCGAAGCUCGUACUUCUCUGUUUCUACUCUCGCAAAAUCAAUUUCUCACAACUCUCGCAAAAUCAAAGCUCGUACAGAUUGUUGAAGUUUUAUAGUUCAUUGGUAAGAAAGAAGGUCUGCAACUUCCUCCUACUUUUGCUGCUCGCAUAGCAAAGAAAUCUAACCGGAAUUUAAGGAGGGCCAUAUUGUCAUCUGAGACUUGCCGUGUCCAACAGUAUCCUUUAACUGACAAGCAAACAAUUUCACCAAUGGACUGGGAAGAAUAUAUUUCUGAAAUUGCAUCUGACAUAAUGAAGGAACAGAGUCCAAAAAGGCUGUUUCAAGUUCGGGGAAAGCUGUAUGAGUUGCUGAUCAAUUGCUUUCCUCCAGAGAAGUGUAUCGUGGAAGUUGCUGUAACUCGACUUCAAAAGUAAGUUAUGAUAUCAAAUAUAUGGAAGAAUUAAGAUUUAUGCGUCUGGAAUUGUGAUCUGAUUAUGCAGCAGCUGCAAGCUAAGGCUAUCAAUUCAGAUAGGGCUGGUCUGGUGCAGCGAAAAAAGCCUACCCUUUUGCGGCUGAAAUGCAAUUCAGACACAUCUCUUGCUUGUCCUCAAAAUCAGGAUUCAUUGAUGUUCUAUUAAAGGACACAACUAAAUUUAAUGAGAUGGGAUACUGAGAGGUAUUUAUUAGUAGAACAGCUUUUUGAUGUGAUUUAUAAGCAUCUUGAUCAGGGUAGCAUGUCUAGCAUUUCAAUGCCAAGGUGAGUGUUUCUGUUUUUAUCCAUUUUAUAAUUUUAAUGAAGAAUCUUUUGGUAGUUUAAGAUGAUCCUAAUGAACAUUCUACUCAGGGGUGAUGGAAAUAAGAAUGUUAAAUCUGGAACUUUGAGUAGCUCACAACGUGGCUUAGUGGAACUUGAAGCGGUUUUAUUUGUUUUGAGCAGGAUACCCACUUAACUUUGGGCUUCUCUUUAUCCUUAGUUACACUUGUGUUGAGAUUGACAUGAUUUUACCAUUUGCAAAGUUAUUACCCAAGUGUUAAAUUAGCUUGUCCAGUAGUUUCAUAACUUAUUUCAUGUAUCUUAUUUAAUUUUAUGAAUGUGAUGUUCAGGACAUUGCACAAGAAGCUGUGAAGAAGACAGAAAACUAGAUGGAUGUUUAAAAACUGACGAAAGCAGCACUGAGUCAUUCUACCUGUUCAUGAAGAAUGGAAAGCCACUGCUAAAUUUUUUUAAAGUCUCACUCAUAAACCAGGUACUUUGAUCCUGCCAGGUUUCUCUGCACUGACAGUGUGCAGUUGAGAAGUAUGAUGGGUGAAACAGCUAUGUUGCAUUGAUGGGAGCCCGACCGGAUGUUCAGAACGAAGUUCUUUGUUGUUUUGCCCUUCCAGCUAGAUAGCAUGGAGAUUUGUUAUAUUUUAAGUUGUUGUGAAAUAUAUAUUUACAGUUUAGCUAAUCAUGAACCAACCACUCAUAGGAUGUCAUAAAAAGAUGUUUGAAUUCUGUCAUGAACCUACUUGUCUUUGUUCAACAUUACCAAAACUCAUUCAAAACAAUUGUCAACAAUAGAUAUUUGUAUCA